CUUCAAGAGGCAUUGCAUGAUUUCACCUGCUCCCUUGCCCCUCUGCCAGGAGGCCAGCCCAUCCCAGAUCGCCCCUUGCAGAGGCUGCUCCUUCAUCCUGGACCCCAGAGGCCAGAACACAGCUUGGAACAGGAUCACGACCACAGCUGACCUGCAACAAGUGCAUAAUAUGAAUAAGAAACAGGUAUUUGGUGGCGAGGCUCACGGAGAAAUUGAUCUCAUGCAAGAUGACAAGUGGAAGUUCCCAUCUGUGGAUCUAAAGGGGGGGUUCCAGUAUUUUGGGAGAGUUCUCAGCGCCCUGUAGGGAACUCUCUUCUUCAUCUUAUCCUCAGAAAUGAAUUGGCCUGAAAAACCUCAGCCGGGUGUGCACAGCGGACUCUUUGCUCCCGUGUGGACUCGCUCAUGGACGAUCUUCUUGGGCCUGGGCAGAAGAAGGUGGACGAGGCUUCUGUGAAUGCUGAGUGUGAGUCUCCUCCCCUGCAGGCUAGGAACACUUUCUGCCUCCCAACGCGGUCAUGUGCCACCCACCUUCUCCAGCUCCAGCUCUCUGCUCCGUCUUCCCCACAAAUUCUCAAGCACGGUGCUAAUCCUCAGGUGGACUGGGAGGUGCUGAGCAAACAUUGGCCCUUGAAAGGUUAAUAACUUACAAAUGAACUGCAGCUGGCAAGAAAAUCAGGUGUAUACAAACAGGCAAUCACCGUGAUGGAUACCUGAAACUAAUAGGAUAUUGUAUGUCAAUUAGAUGUCAAUCAAAGUGAAAUAAAAUAAAUCAGGGCCUGUGCUGCUGAGAUACAGCCAUGAUGUGCAAGCAUCCAUCUUUCUCCAGGGGGAAUAAAGCAGCAGAGGCAGCCAGCUAUCUCCUUUGUAAAAGGUUAGGUGGACGGCACACCUGUUCUCUCCCAUUAUAACAGUUGGAGUUGUGAGAAGUGUUUGAUCAAGCCACAAAUAUUUCCUACAUAAACAAAAAUCCAGUGAGGAAUAUAUGCAGCUCUCUCUUCCUGCUGCCAGCUUGGGAUGGUCUAUUCUUCAUGCCAGGAAGGACAUCCACUUUUUUGUCAGUUACACAUGCUUGCUAUCCCAUUUGCCAAUGACUUCUCUACUGAGACAUAGACCUCCUUCCCACUCUGCAAAAAGCAGUCAUCUCUACUGGAUCCUCAGGGGAGAGAAGGAAACAGAAUCCACUUUCUGAAGCUCUACAGUGAAGCAAGGGGCUUCAGUGGGUAUACAGGGCAAGCAAGAAAAAGUGGAAAAGCAGAACAGGUCUACAGUGGAACAGGCCCGACACGUAGGAGCCAGGAGCCCAUGGGAGUGGGAAGAACCAUAAUUCUUUUGUCUGGAACCGAGGUGGCUGGGAAGAGAGGAAGAUGGCUAUAUUUAACCGAGGGAUUAUCAUAAGAAGGAGCAUACCAAGUUCAAGAGCAUGAAAUGAAUUCAUGCUGCAGGAAAGCAAUGAUGUGUUUCGGACAGGAAGAAAUUGCUGUUGUGUUGCACAAUAGGUGUUUUUCUCCCCUGCUCUACUUCACUGUGUGGAUCGGCACCUACAGAAGACAGGUCGACAAAAGCAUUUAGUAAUUUUAGUAAUUUUCUUAGGUGGAGGCCAAGAGACUCAUUUAUCGUAAUAGCCUGUAAGAGCUGUGCUAAGAAGAAUCCCAUUUGACUUGAGAAGGUUCAGCCUGGCUGCUGAUUGUGAUGCACAACCCCCACCCACCCACCCACCCACAGCCCUGCCCAAAGUGGAAUUUAGAGGAGCCCACACAAAAUCACUCAUACAUUCCCCACACUCACACACACCUACUCACAGUGGACACACACACACACUCACAUUCACACACCCGCUCAUACAUGCACAUACUCACACUCAUGCAUUAUCACAGUCAUGAAUGCUUACCCUUGCACUCACACACAUGUUCACAGCUGCACACACACCCUCACACACUGUCAUAUACAAGCAGAGGUAAUGAAUGACCAUAGCUGAGGCUGGGAGAACAGGAACCAAGGCCAAGAGUCCUGGUGGAGAGGAUUUUAGCCCUUUGUUUCUUCUACCAGAAAUGUCCUUCGUGAUCAUGUCUGUGUACUUCCAAAUCUUACCCACCUGUAGCUGCCCUCUGCCAGAGGGUCUUGCCCAGCCCCAGAAAACUGCUCACAAUGUCCAGAUGGCACUUUAGCAGCCAUGUUUCUAGGGAUAGCUGCUCUGGCCAUAGCCAGUUAGUUUUGGAGCUGAACUCCUGACACUGGGCUUGGUUAAUCAUAUUAUAUCUCAUUAUAUUAUACCUAAAAUAUAUAAUCACAUUUUAUCUCCCCAUUUGGACCAGACCACAGAGAAGCACUGGCCCUGAAUCAUACAGGCAGUGGAACUCUCCAGGGCAGGACCACACAUUGAGGACUGCUAUUGAGGCCCAUGGAAAUCUCUGCUUCCCACCCUGCCUGAGGCUUACCCGUUGAGCAUUUUCUAAGAUCCUGUGAGAUUCCACAGCCUGCUCCCUAUGAACCUCUGGAGCUGGAUUAGCUUUGAUUUCUUUUACUUGCCAACAAGAAACAAAAAUGCCAUCCAGCCUACUUCUAGUCCAUCCCCACUCCUUCCAACGCCUCCUGCUAGCAGCGACCUGUUCAUCCACAAAGCACCCACAAUAUUUUCAUGGCUUACUGUUUUCUCAGUCCCACUUAUUUCUCUCUUCCCUUCAGUACUCGACCAUAAGCUCCCUGAAGGUAGAAACCAUGUCUUAUGCAUUGUUUCAGUCCACACCACACCCAGUACAGCACCUUCCUCACAAUAGUUUGUGAGGAGCAUUUGUUGAAUGGAUGCGCAAAUGUAUUAUUGAAUAAAUGAAUAAAUAAAUGACCUUAA